rnacentral:lncRNA from 1 species
CCCAAGAAUUCCAUUUUUGAUAAAAUCAAGCUAAGUUUAAUUUUGGACCCUUUGGACCUUAAUGUAGACCAAUUUGAAAACAGGACCAAAAAUUAAGAAUCUGAAUACACGGUUAGAUUUGGCAUAUCAAAGAACCCCAAUAAUUCAUUUUUUGAUGAAAUCAAACAAAGUUUAAUUUUGGACCCUUUCGGCCCCUAAUUCGUUGGGACCAAAACUCCCAAAAUCAAUCCCAAC